AACGCACAUUGCGCCCGCCAGAACUCUGGCGGUGCAUGCCUGUCCGAGCGUCACUUCCACCCGUCGAGCGCCGCUCGCGUUGGGGCCCUGCGGGCCUGGCCCGCAGCCCCCGAAAGACAGUGGCGGGACCGCCGCCGCGCCGGGCGUAGUAGCGCGAGCCUCGCCCCGGAGGCGUGCGGCGGGCACCCGGCCUGAACCGCUCCGCGAGGAGACGCAGAAACCGGUUGACCUCGGAUCAGGUAGGAAUACCCGCUGAACUUAA
rnacentral:misc_RNA from 1 species